UACGUAGGUGACGAGCGUUAUCCGGAAUACUGGCGUAAGGCGCACGCAAGCGGUUGGACGAAGAUCUGGCGUGAAAUCCUCUGGCUUAACCAGGGGCGGUCGCUGGAGACUGUUCGGCUUGAGGCGAUGAGAGGGGUGCAGAAUUCCCGGUGUAGUGGUGGAAUGCGUAGAGAUCCGGAAGAACACCGGAGGCGAAGGCGGCUUGCUGGGCUCGGUCUGACGCUGAGGCGCGAAAGCGUGGGGAGCGAACAGG
rnacentral:rRNA from 1 species